rnacentral:rRNA from 1 species
UGAGGAAUAUUGGUCAAUGGGCGCAAGCCUGAACCAGCCAUGCCGCGUGCAGGAAGACGGUCCUAUGGAUUGUAAACUGCUUUUAUUUGGGAAUAAACCUAUUUACGUGUAGAUAGCUGAAGGUACCAAAUGAAUAAGCACCGGCUAACUCCGUGCCAGCAGCCGCGGUAAUACGGAGGGUGCAAGCGUUAUCCGGAAUCAUUGGGUUUAAAGGGUCCGCAGGCGGAUUUAUAAGUCAGUGGUGAAAGCCUACAGCUCAACUGUAGAACUGCCAUUGAUACCUGUAAGUCUUGAAUUCGGUCGAAGUGGGCGGAAUAUGACAUGUAGCGGUGAAAUGCUUAGAUAUGUCAUAGAACACCGAUAGCGAAGGCAGCUCACUAGGCCUGGAUUGACGCUCAGGGACGAAAGCGUGGGGAGCAAACAGGAUUAGAUACCC